rnacentral:rRNA from 1 species
UACAGAGGUCUCAAGCGUUGUUCGGAUUCAUUGGGCGUAAAGGGUGCGUAGGUGGCGCUGUAAGUCGGGUGUGAAAUUUCGGAGCUUAACUCCGAAACUGCAUUCGAUACUGCGGUGCUUGAGGACUGGAGAGGAGACUGGAAUUCAUGGUGUAGCAGUGAAAUGCGUAGAGAUCAUGAGGAAGACCAGUGGCGAAGGCGGGUCUCUGGACAGUUCCUGACACUGAGGCACGAAGGCCAGGGGAGCGAAACGGG